rnacentral:rRNA from 1 species
GGAUUAGGCAUGCAAGUCGAACGGUCGCCGGGCGGUAGCAAUAUCUACCGGCGAUAGUGGCGGAAGGGCGAGGAACGCAUGGACAAUCUGUCCCGAGGGUGGGGAUAACGCCGGGAAACUGGCGCUAAUACCGAAUGUUCCGUACGGGCCGCAUGGCCCGUCCGGCAAAGGCGGGGACCGCAAGGCCUGCCCCCUGGGGAGGAGUCCGUGUGCCAUCAGCUUGUUGGCGGGGUAACGGCCCACCAAGGCUUACGGCUAGCUGGUCUGAGAGGACGACCAGCUGCACUGGGACUGAGACACUGCCCAGACUCCUACGGGAGGCUGCAGUCGAGGAUCAUUCGCAAUGGGCGAAAGCCUGACGAUGCGACGCUGCGUGGAGGAUGAAGGCCUUCGGGUCGUAAACUCCUGUCAUGAGGGAAGAGGAGAGUGUCACUAACAUUGACGCGAUUUGACGGUACCUCAAGAGGAAGCCACGGCUAACUCUGUGCCAGCAGCCGCGGUAAUA